rnacentral:tRNA from 1 species
GCUUGGGUGGCUCAGUCUGUUGAGCGUCUGACUUUGGUUCAGAUCAUGAUCUCGCAGUUCAUGAGUUCGAGUCCCACGUCAGGCU